GUUUGUGAUAAGUUUGUGUUCAUACAGUGUGUGUGUGUGUGUGUGUGUGCAUGUGUGCAGUAUGUGAUAAGUGUGUGUUUCUUCAGUGUGUGUGUGUGUGUGAUAAGUGUGUGUUUCUCCAGUGUGUGUGUGUGUGCGCGUUCUCGAGUGUGUGUGUGUUAGAGACAGUAGAAUGGCCAGCAGGCUCUUUCUGUCAAACCUACAGUGUGUGUGUGUGUGUGUGCGAGCUAGUGCGUGUGUGUGUGUGUGUGUGUGUGU
ensembl:lncRNA